rnacentral:snRNA from 1 species
CCCGGGCGGAGCGGCCGU